GCUUGAGCUUUAAUUGUUUUUCAAAAUGUCCCAGGUGAUUUUAAUGAGCAGCCAGGCUUGCCUGCUCUGACUUUUAGGAUUAAUUCCAGACUCCUGAGUGUGGUUUAAAAGGCCCUUCGUAACCUGGCUUGCCCCUCUGGUCUCGUCCUCCCAACCCACGCUCAUUUCCUCUGCUCCGAGAUACAGAACGCACCAGGCGACACUGUCUUUAAGCUUGGAAUGUUCCUCCUUUCCAUCUGCCUGGCAAAUGUUGAGUCAUCCUUUAAGUCUAGGCUGAAGGAUGUUCUUCCCUAAGAAGCAUUCCAGAUUCUUGCUUACAUAUCACAUUUAAAGAGUCACCACGGCCAUUGCCACUAUGCUGCCAUCACGCCACCAGACAAAUGGUGUUGAACUGGCCCGCUCCUUUGUAUCACCUACUGAAGAGUCGAGCAGGAGCAUAGUUUUGGUCAUCCCGUGCCUGAAGUUAGGCUGCUGGGAGUCAGGUUAUGAUGGAUGGAGUGCAUAACACCUGACAGCAGCAAGACCUUUUGAGGAACCGAACAUUGACUACAGUAUAUCAUGGAUUUUCCUCAUGGAGCAUCUGUGGCUAUUUCUCGGCUGAGCUCAUCCUUUUGGAUUUGAUGAAGGCCAUGCCGUGUGUCCGCAUGUCAGGGUCCUUGAUGCCAUGCAUCAGCUGGACGUGCUUCUCCAGCAUCAAACGUUUGGUAAAGGCAAAUCGGAGUGGCUGAGUCUGGCCGGCAGCACCUAAGAUGAGCUGGCACCUGGUCUCUGCCUCAUGAAUCACAGGACCUGGUGAAAGCCACUCAACCCACGUGAAUGUCCACUCCCACCCCUGUGAGGUGGGCUUGCAACAGUGCCUGCCUCCCAGGACGCUUCGAGAACACGGGGAUGAUUAACAAAGGGGGCAGGCAGCAUGGGACACAUCGCUCAGGAAAUGCUCUUGUAAUAGUCAAGUUAUGCAGCCAACUUCCAUUCAAAAAGCAUAGAAAAAUACUGUCUGUCUUUUAAAUAAACCAAAUCAGUCUGGUAGAUAUUCAAAAGGGUCUUGAAUCCAAACAAGGGCAAAGGAGAAAAUUUCUUCUCCAAGUUAAAAGUUAUACCAAUGCUGUUCAUCUCUGGGGGAAACAACGAAAGAGAGAACAAAGCAAAUAACAAGCUGGCACCCCCCAAAAAUAUUCUCUCAUAAAGAUUUGAUUACACAAAAUAGGCCAGCAGCAAUCCCUAACCUCUUGGAUUAGCAUUUAUGCAGCAAAAGAGUGACUAAGAGGUAACGAGCCUUUAUUUAUUUUAAAGCUUUAAAGUCAUGAACAACAGGUCUGUAUUUCAAUAAAGAUAUUUAAAAAUCUAGUAUCUAAUGCUUUUUAUAUUUUCUACAUAUAAAAAUCAACUGAGGCUGGGCGCAGUGGCUCACGCCUGUAAUCCCAGCACUUUGGAUCACCUGAGGUCAGGAGUUCAAGACCAGCCUGGCCAACAUGGUGAAACCCCGUCUCUACUAAAAAUACAAAAAUUAGCUGGGCAUGAUGGCAGGUGCCUAUAAUCCCAGCUACUCAGAAGGCUGGGGCAGAAGAAUUGCAGUGGUUGCAGUGAGCCGAGAAGAUCAUGAUACUGCACUCCAGCCUGUGAGACAGAGCAAGGCUCCAUCUCAAAAGAAAAAAAAAAUCAACUGAAAGUCAUCUUUCUAAAAGCAAGACUGCUUCACCAAAUCCUAACAGAUUAUAAAGAAAAAUGUAUCUUUCUAACAAUACAAUAGGACAAGAGACCCCACAGAAAGGAAAAUUCGAUUUCCUAUUAAGGUGACGGGUUUAAUAUUCUAUUUCUUCUUGUGUAGUAAUAUUAACAUCAAAACAAAAUUUUAAUACAGAAAUGCCAGUAAGAAAACCCUAAAAAAUGAAGAGCAGCUUAGCAAAUCAGUAACUAUUUUCAAAAGAUCAAUCAAUGUGAGAGAGACAUCCUUCUGUUUCAGCAUCUUUAUGAAAAAUGCAGAAAUGAACUCUGCAAUUCAAAAAUAAGCAGGGUUUCCAAUUCACUGGUGACAAGAAAAUGAGGUUUAAAACACCAGUUUCCAGAUCAAACCUGCCUGGUCACAUUACCUAACAGACAACUUUCUUCCUCUGUUAGAUUUUAAAUACAAACUUAUUCGAAGGUACUUUGCCAAAUUUAUUUUCGUAACUUCUGUUCCUCAAUAUUACUAGCUCCUUCUGCUUUUAUGAGUUUAAAAAAUGGGAAAACAGCAUUUCAGUGUAAAGCCCACCGUCAUCAUUCUAAGACUUUAGGCCGUUUGCUUCCUCCUGGCUUUACUAUAAGCUGAGAUUGAGAGCUUUGGGUGGACUUUUUAAUAGUUAACUAAGAUCAGAAAAGGAACAUGUCUUCCUACUCAGUUCUGAGUUACUUUGUUUUUAAAUAGAACUCUUUAAAGAAAUAGUGAACUAAUAAGCUGGCAGGGUUUCCAAAGUUUUUAACAUAAAACUUUUUGAGAGUAAAAUAUCAAAAUAAACACUUGGGUACACUUCCUAAACUUUCUUCCUCCCGUCUCAUUUUUGACUUUCAUCUUCACAGCUUCAGGAAAGAAAGCAUUAAUCCCGCCUCCUUUUCUCCAGUGACUAUGCUAGGCGUGCGCUACCCCAUGCUGCUGCUGUGCUUGGGAUGGUACGGCCUUGGCAGGCCAUUCUUCCCGGAGAGCACUUGGUGGACGUGUCUCGGUUUGCCACGGGGCUUCCCUCACAAUCAGAAACUUCCCAUUCUAAUAACUUGUCCUUUCUGUUUCUGUGCUUACGGGUCUCUGUUUCAGGUGACUUUGGGGAAGUUAGAGGGAGAAAAGUCAUAACUUCAUACCCAGAUCUGGCAAGGCAUCCACAUCUCACCUUGUCCUGGGAGUCCUACCUCCACGAGGUAUCUGCCUUGCACCAACAUGCAAGAGCCUCCUUAACGACCACCAUGCAGCCAGAAACUCCCACAAACUUAAAGACUGCAGGCUACAGGAUUAUCCUCAACCGUUGCUGACACAUGCCCUUCAGCUCACACCUUUUUAUGAAAAAGGAAAAACCAAGCCAAUCACAUGAUUUAAAUAUAGCACAGCAGCAGUCCCUCCAAAAUUCACUCCUAAAGCUCUGACCCCUUCCACUGGGCAAUCUAUUCUAUGAAGAGACCUGCAUACUUACUACAGCCCGUUUCUGCUGUAAUGCAACAUCGGUGCUCCUAAAAAUCACUGCACUAUGCAAAACUUCAACAAAACAACAGGGCCUCUAGCAAAAAUGGAGUCACGGAGACAACACUCAAGACUUUGUCAGUGACACAUCGAAUGAAAAUAUUUAGUUUUAACUACGUCAAAUGGUUAAGAAAUGCAAAAAACACUGCACUUUACCUUGAAAAAGACCUGCAGUGAGCUUGUGGAGGUCAGAGGGUUGCAGCUUGUGAGUUACUGUGAAGUGGGGGAAGGAGGGCAAUCUUAGUGGAAGGGAAGCUUGCAACACCAGCUGUGGAUGGAUGUGACCCACAGUUGAGAGGGAGGCCCUGGUGAAAUCGGAGGUUUGUUGUGUGUAUGUGUUUUGUGUUUUCCUACACAACUCCACAGCAUUCUGUAGUCACUUGGUAUUUCUCAGGGAUGAAAUCACACAUAAGCAAACAUGAAAUUCAGGUUAAGCUCCCAUUGUUCUGAUAAAUCUUGGUACUGGGAUAAAUUUGUUUCAGCAUAAGUGUUAUAGCAGAAGUCACUGUGUUCAAGUUUAUUCACUGCACCAUUGUGUACGGUGGGUCCAUCAAAGGAGAACUGGCUAAAUACAUGCAUGCACUCAUACCACAAGAUGCCGUGCCGCUACAGAAAUGGAGGGAAGAUCUCAAUGCACUGAUACGAAAAGAACCAUAACUACUAAGCGGAGAAAGUACUGGUACACAAAAUUAUAGAUGGAAGCUGUGUUCUGUAUUAGAAGAAUGAGAAUAUAUGCAUAUAUGCUAAUACUUGCAUAAGGAGACUUCAAGAUAAGAAACUUAGGAGUUAAGACUUCACUAUAUUCCUUCAUAUUGUUUAAAUUUUUAAACUAUGUAAAUAUAGCACAUAUCCAAAAAAAAUUUUACCGCAAAAAAAACUGAGCUUAUUGAGAUAUAGUUUAUAAAAUCACUUUUUUAAAAGUAGAGUUCUAUGAAUAAGUGCCACCACAGUCAAGACAUAGAACAGUUGUGUCAUCCCCCAAAAUUCCCACGUGCCCUUUAUAAUCAACCCCACCCCCUCGACCCCGCUCUUAGCAGCCAGGGAUUUGCUUUCUAUCUCUGGUUUUGCUUUCUCCAUUUGUCAUAUAAAUGGAGCCAUACAGUACACGUGAAGCUUUGAGUCUCGCUUCUUUCACUCAGCAUAAUACACAUAUAAUUCCUCCACGCUGUUGGGUCUAUUGGUAUUUGUUCCUUUUCUCUGCUGACUAGUGUUCCAGUGUGGAUGUGCCCAAGUGUGUUUAUUCACUUGCCAAGUGAAAGCCAUUUAGGGAUUUUCUAGUUUUUGAUAUUAUGAAUAAAGCCACUAUAAACAUUUACUAUAAUCAUUCAUCUGUGCAUAUGAUUUCUCUUGGGUAAAUACCCAGGAGCGGGAUUACUAAGUCAUAUGUUAAAUAAGAAACUGUCUAACUGUUUUCCAGAGCGGCUGUCCCCUGCAUACCCACCAGCAAUGGAGAGAAACUGCCACCGUUCCGCCAUCUUUUAACAUUUGGCAUUGCCACUUCAUUUAGUUCAGUCAUUCUACAGGGUGGCCAGUAGUAUUUUGUUGUGGUUUUAAUUUGCAUUUCUCUAAUGACUUAUUAAGGUAACAAAAAAAUCUUUCUGGCCAGGCACAGUGGCUCACGCCUGUAAUCCCAGCACUUUGGAAGCCAAGGCGGGCGCACCACUUGAGGCCAGGAGUUCAAGUCCAGCCUGGCCAACAUGGCAAAAUCCUGUCUCUACUAAAAAUACAAAUAUUAGCUGGGCAUGGUGGUGCAUGCCUGUAAUCCCAGCUACUCAGGAGGCUGAGGCACAAGAAUCACUUGAACUCGGUAAGCAGCAGUUGCAGUGAGCAGAGAUAGUGCCACUGCAUUCCAGCCUGGGCGACAGAGUGAGUGAAAACUCUGUCUCAAAAAACAGAUAUAUAUUUCAAUUAGUAGGUAAAACACCAACUUACAGUAAGCCUCUUUCUUCAAAGAAAAAGCGUACAAUCAAAGUUUUGUUGUUUUUUAAUUAUUAAAGGGAUGUUUGGGGGGCAUUUUCCCUCCCCCAUAAGCUCCUUGAGAACAGAAGCUGUCAAUUGUUCAUCUCUGCAUCAGAAAACAGUAAAUACUGUGGGAAUGAAUAAAUAAAGAUUAACUGAACAAAACUGUCUACUUGGAAAACAUCGGCAGGUUCUACGAAGUAAUCAUGGAGUAACAAAUUUAGGAUAAAGUGCUGGACACAGAGGAACUCUGCUUAUUUCCUGCAGGAUGGCCAAGACAUGACGGUGUUUAAAUACGGAUAAGAAAGAGCCUGUAAUAAAUGAAGAGACUGAGGAUAGAGGCGAGCGAUGAAUGAAUGAGCAGGGAGACAGGGAUUCAGACACAGGAAGAACAGCUCUUCCUGUGUGGCCAGAGCCAAGGCGUCAUCCGGGGACAGGUGUGAUGCUUAUUAAAGUCAGGGGUGGGUGGGUGACGAAGGGGCCCAGAUAUUGAGGGAAUUCCUGCUCAGCAGCUUCCAUUUUCAAAAUGAAGCACGUAUGGUACAUUUUAGACUUCAGACUCAAAUAACUGUGGCCUUCAUUUUCUUAUUUCUUUAUCAAAGUAACAAAUGCUUAUUGCACAAUGUAAAAGAGAAAAGAUUGCUUCCAAUCUCACCCAUCAAAAUAACCACUGUCAAUUUCUAAUGACACAGCCUUCCCACUUUUCUGAAUAUACACACUGAUGUGUAUUUAUAUUUCUAAAACCGAUCUAUAUUAUACAUAUUGGCUUUCAAACUAAUUCUUUUUCACUUGUAAAACACACAUAUCUACACACACUGACAGUUGUUUUCUUGUUUGUAUUUUUGAGACAGAGUCUCUGUCGCCCAGGCUGGAGUGCAGUAGUGCAAUCUCAGCUCACCAUAGCCUCUGCCCUGGGAUUCAAGUGAUUCUCGUACCUCAGCCUCCCAAGUAGCUGGGACUGCAGGUGUGUACCACCACACCUGGAUAAUUUGUGUGUUUUUAAUAGAGAUAGGGUUUCACCAUGUUGCCCAGGCAGGUCUCAAACUUCUUACCUCAGGUGAUCUACCCGCCUCAGCCUCCCAAAGUGCUGGAAUUACAGGCGUGAGCCACCAUGCCCAGCUAGUUCUGCAUUCUUAACAAGUGUAUUGUAUUCUGUUGCACAAAUGAACCAUGAAUUGUUUAUCUUCUAUUAAAGAUUCAGGUUGUCUCAACUUCUUAGUAACUACAGACACAAAUUUCCAUAAUCAAUUAUUUCCUUUGUAUAAACUAUUGAAGGCAGUCUUUCCAAUAUAAAGGUUGUGAAAAAUAAGCCUCUUUAAAUGCCAAACUGCCCUAAAAAAGAUUCAUUCUACCACCACUAGCACGUUCACCAAGGGAGUUUCCCACACCAGCUCUAGUCUUCAACUCUACCAAAGUGAUAGGUAAAACAGUCGACCAACUUUUUCUCUAAAUGGCCAGACAGUAUGUUAGGCCAGAAACCAUAAGGUUUCUGUUGCAACUACUCAACUCUGCCCUUGUACCUUAAAACCAAGAAUAGACGAUAAUAAUUAAAUGAAUGGGCGUGGCUGUGUUCUCAUAAAUUAUUUACAAAAACAGGUGGCAGGCCCAUGAAACGCAGUUUGCUGAUCCCUGAUUGAGACCACUGUUUCACAUUCAAUAGAAAAUAGAGACAAGUCUCAAUCAUUCAGAACCAAAUUUAUGUAAAUUUAUGUAGAUAAUCUAAAGCCAGUCAUAACUAUAAAGUGAAAAGAAUGCUUUUUUUUCAUAUGCCAUGCUCUAAACAGGUUCUGAGAACCAGCACUAUCACUGUCACGUGCCUAGAUUACCGAGGUGACAACUUUGAAAUAAAGAGGGUUAAACCAACGUGUGCUUACCACUAUGCUUAUUUAAAACAACAAAAACAAAACCAAGUCUCCGAAGUUUCUGGUUAUAAGACUGUCUGGUCUGCUGAUGACACUGUACAACUGAAAAAGUAAUGACGCAGAACAGUAACAAAUGCACAAGAACAGAAGGCCAAAUCCGGAGCAGAUGGCAAAGAAACGUGUCGCACCGUAGUUUCUGAGCUUAGGGCAAUGUCAGACACUUGGGCAGAGAAAAAAAGAAAGGGCUGAAGGAAGGCUACCUAACUUUCUAACAAGCUGCCAGCAUCAUGCCAAUGAAACCCAGAAAUGCCUGCCAGGGCACGGUGGGGCUACCAGGGGUACAUGCCUGCCAGGGGCCUCUGUGUCCACCUCCACUGGCCAGUGGGGAUGUGCAGCAGAGGUUUGGGACUCUCACUGCAGACCCUAAACAAACCUCACAUCUCUUCUCUGUCAGGGGACUCUUGGGUCAAUACCCUCGUGCCAUCCACUGGGUACAUCUUUAUUAAUCCUCAUUAGAAAGCCGACAAAAUAAAUCCUGACUAAUCUUUACUGCCUCUCCUUCACAAUGACUGACGCCCUGGAAAGAGGGCUGACAGGUGCCUUGAGGCAUCCAUUGCCAUGAUCAUAAACUCUGAAACAUUCACCAGAGACCACCUGACUAUGAAAAAAAUCUUUGCUGCCCUAUUUGUCUAGAUCUGGCUCAACUUCAUUCCCCUUCUACUUGCAGGCAUCUGUCCUACCUUUGAAGCCUCCCUGGUUCCCAAGAUGUCCAUCUACAGAUGGGUGACAUGUUAUUUCUCUUAUUAUUCCUGUUCUCAGAGAAUCCAGUCUUCAAAAAGGGACCACUGGCAGGAAUACACAGAAUAUUUUCUCCUAGUACAGUAGUUAUAGAAUCUUUUGGCCCUUUUUAAUCAUAAAGCAAUUGAAACAGAAAAAGGUCACUGUGAAAGAUUUUUUUCCCCGUAUAAUAGCUAGUAUUUUAUAAAAGGACAAAUAUGGUUGGG
rnacentral:lncRNA from 10 species